AACCCAGUCAAUGAAUCUGCUUACCCAAAUGUGUUUCUGUAGAAAUUUAGAAAAUGCUGGCAAUAGGAAAGCCAUGUUACAGGCCUUAAAAACAUUGAAGUCAUUAAGGCCCUUGAAAAUGGCUAGAAGA